AACAUUGCAUCUGCCUCCUCAUAGGUUUUUUUUUGGACGAAGCCUCUCGCAGUUUUUUUCUAGGUAUAGGAUUGACUGUAAAAAAUAGCUUCUCGCCGAAACACCUCCCUCUGCACCCACCCAGCACUAGCCCGACCACCUCCCUCUCCCCGACCCACCGACGUCUUGACCCGACGGCUUUUCGCACUCCCUAAUCGAUGGCUUGUCGCGCUCCGCAUCCUGACCCGCGCGCCAUAUGUUCCAGCGGCAUUCCUGGGGAUGGAUCGAUGUAGGCACAGGUAAAGAGGUGUAAGACUUCAUGAAACGUCACUAUAGAUGUGAUUCGCCAAGAUUGUGGAGGUUCAAUGUCUGUUGGAGCUGCUUCACGCCCACAAACUCAUAUUCGACCUCGACCAAAAUCAACCUUAUGGCAACAAUGAUCCCUCCUGGAUGUCUGAUUUCAGCACUAUGGAGUCCUAGGGUGGGUACUUCACUUGUGUACUGAACCAGGAAAGUGCAGAUGUUGUUGGCUCCGUUAACAUAAUGGAAGUUGAUAAUGAAGUGACAGAGUUACCACUAGUGAAUGAAAUGAACUCGCAUCUGAUUAAGAGGAGUU